GAACGCAAAUUGUACUUUUCAGUAUUCUGGAGAGUAUGCUUGGUUGAGGGUCAUUAAUAUAACAUUCGUGAAUUUUUUUUUCGCGGAUUUGAGUUUUCCAGUAUUUUAUUAUUAUAAAAAUGUUGGUAACUUUAAAAUUAUUUUAUUUCUUGGUUACAAGUUAAAAACGUACUAUAUGUGUGGUUCGUUGAUAAUUUGUCCAUCUAUAUAUAUUAUGUUUGUACUUGGUCCACAUUGGGUUCUGUGUGAACAUAUAUUUUUUUUAUGACCUCAGCUCAAGCAAGAAUACCCGCUGAACUUAAG
rnacentral:misc_RNA from 1 species